rnacentral:rRNA from 1 species
GACGAACGCUGGCGGCGUGCUUAACACAUGCAAGUCGAACGGAAAGGCCCUGCUUUUGUGGGGUGCUCGAGUGGCGAACGGGUGAGUAACACGUGAGUAACCUUCCCUUGACUUUGGGAUAACUUCAGGAAACUGGGGCUAAUACCGGAUAGGAGCUCCUGCUGCAUGGUGGGGGUUGGAAAGUUUCGGCGGUUGGGGAUGGACUCGCGGCUUAUCAGCUUGUUGGUGGGGUAGUGGCUUACCAAGGCUUUGACGGGUAGCCGGCCUGAGGGGGUGACCAGCCACCUUGGGACUGCGAUACGGCGCAGACUGCUACGGGAGGCAGCAGUGGGGAAUAUUGCACAAUGGGCGGAAGCCUGAUGCAGCAACGCCGCGUGCGGGAUGACGGCCUUCGGGUUGUAAACCGCUUUCGCCUGUGACGAAGCGUGAGUGACGGUAAUGGGUAAAGAAGCACCGGCUAACUACGUG